UCUCCUUGUUAGAAAAAAACUUGUGUGUCAUUUAGUGUGGGUACGGGUGCUAUAAAGGAUUGAUAAUGUCACGUGUGGAUGGCGAUCCGUGGAAUGAAGCGACUGGAGCAGGAUAGAUGAUGUAGCGAUGCGGAGGACCCAGUGGACGCAUGUAUAGCUCGCGCAAGGCGGCUAGCCAGCUAGACACGUUUACACUUCACAGUGUGCUGGAUCACAUCAAUUCCCCAUGGCACACACGGCCAAUACUCAUACCAGGAUACUCAUAUUGGAGCUACCGCAUGAGCGAUCGAGCAGGCCAUAACUGUCGCAUGCACCGGGGAUUCUAGCGUGGGAUUCUAGCGUGGGGCAUGCCAAGAGCCUGACGACCUGGAGGAGCUCAAGUGGUGCGUGGAUCUGGGGUUCGAUUUGCAAAGCAGCAGCCAACGACGCCUCCCAGCGUUGCCUCUACAUCAGUCGCCAGUGAGUCGCUGCUUCGUCCGGCCUCCUCUGUCAAUUGUGCUUGUCUGAUUCAGAGUUUCCUUUGCUCUCUCUCCCCUCUUGCGGGAUUAAUUCCUUCCUUCGGUUCCCCUCGUACUCUUAUUGAUUUCUGAUGCGACAAGGCCAUCUGCAUAUAUAAAUUGAUUGAAUUGGAUGCACAUGAGCGAGGUGGGACUAAAUCAUGACAGGUGAGAUUGAGAAGGUUACGACGGAGGAGGCCGGAGAGGACUCGCGGCGACGGUCAGGUCAUAGCGGCAGCGCGGAUGGAAAGCGGGCAUCUCGACGCCGGCGCCGUGCUCCCGUCCUCCCCUGGGACCGGCGGCACCGUCCCUCGCCUCGAUCACGUCGGUCACAGCGAAAAGAAGCAUGUGGAUAAGAUAGAAGAAAGGAUCACAUACUGAAUAUUUAGAAAUAAAGGGGUGUUUUGCAAAAAUAAACCUUUUCUCAGAAACCCACUUCAAACGAGACUACGGGUUGAAUACUCAGAAACGCGGAAACUUUUCUGCAAAACAGCCACGACGUACGAUCAGAAAUAAUAUUUAUUUUAUUAUUAGGUAGAGAUAAAAUUAUACAACAACUAAAGCACAAACAUGCUCGAGAGGAUGGUGGAUGGACGGCUUGUGCGCUCACAUCCCACGGCUACUGAAGGAACCAGGCCUGAUCGACCGAGUUUUUUUUUGAAAAGA
rnacentral:lncRNA from 1 species